ensembl:lncRNA
AACAACGAUGUGUUCCAAGAUAUUUAUGUGUCUGAUUGGAGCUGUGCAUAUAUACUUUCAGGUCCUUGCAGCGGUCGAAGAUCUCUACAUUGCCGAGCUGAUGGUGGAGAGUAAUGUUACUAUGGAGGCCGACCAGAUCCUUUCCAUUUUGAAUUCAACACAUGACAUCAAACUGUCUGACUUGACCACAGUGAUCCUCUCCCACAAUGAACUGGUUGCAGAGUGCCUGCUUAUUCGAAAUGAAUCCACCUGCAGCUGCAGUACCGGCUACAUUUGGAGCAACCCGGUGUGCAACCAAUUCAACUGUUGCCGGGAGGCUCCUUGUCCUCAAAAUGUGUCCCACAUCGUGCCACUCUGUGUUGCCAAAGUCAAUGUUCACCUCAAUGGAUCAGUGAUAUUGGCGACUGGCACCUGGGAUUCAGGGAAAACCUCCAUGCUUGUAACCAGCUUUGCAGGUCUGAAUGGCUUCAACUUCCUGAAUGUAACCGGUCAGAGGGAGGUCAACAAAGUUGCUGACUUCGAGGCAGCGGUCACCGUCAAAAUGCCAACUGAUAGACUUCAUGACAUCGUCCGUUAUCUGGAAAUCAAUCUUGGAGCUGUGCUUAAGAUUGACACUGAAGGAAUGGUCACCAUAGAGGCCCCAACGACUACAGUGUGCUACGAGUCGACUCCGCAACUGAAAUGCAAAUUUGAGGAGGUGUCGGACAACGCUGGCUGGAGCAAGAAGACUCUGAAUGAGAGCCUUGGCCUCAACACAGGCAGCGUGGUGAAACUGAUCGACAACUGUGCCACAGAGGAAUACAAGUCUUGUGUCGGAGUUAAACUCCAGAAUGUGACAGGCCUUUGGUCAGGCUUAUAUGAGUGUGCAUUCACCAGCGGGUCAGUCAGGCACAUAGCCAAGACAUCACUGACAGUCGUGCUCCUGCCUGACUAUAUCAACCUGGACAUCGACCCUAUUUCGGCAGACUGUUCUGAAAAGACACCAACCCAAAAGGUUACCAUGAGGGUCAAUGCGACCAUCUCAGACUCCACUGAAAGCUACAAUGUUUGGUGGAGCUUCAAUGGUAAACGGAAGGGUAAUCUAUACAACACGUCUGAUGGAUAUGACCUAGUCUACACUUUCUCCGUUGACAUCAGUUGCCAAGAAAACCCUGUCUCACAAGAGGUUUCUGUCACCUUUGAGAACAUCGUGGGGCAAAAUAAAAGUGCAAAAGUGAUUAUCCCAGUGGUUUAUCAGGGGGCACCAUUUUGCAAAGCGGGAUAUGACGACACUGGAGAGUUUUGGCCAAUUUGCCCAGCUGAGGACACAUUGAUUGAUAAGAAAUGCAAACCGGGCAGAGUUGGCUAUAGGUCACGCACUUGUAAAGGCAGAAAUUGGCAGCCUCCGAUCUCCUUCUGUGUCGACCAAGAGUUGAAUAAAGUUUCAAAUGCUGCAGAUUACUUCCUGAUGGGACUUGGGGCUACCGAGGAGGGAGCCGUCAAUAUAUUUUCCGGACUUAAGAACAGAUCUACAGUCGAUUCGGAUUCCCCUGACUCAAUCGCCGACAUUUAUCAAUCCAUCGAUGUUCUAAAUGUGAUGGCGAGAGCAUCAGAUAAUUUUCCCUUGGAAGAGAACAUCUUUCCUGUAAGUCCCAGAUGGUUAUCCCUGUUUUUUUUUGUACACACAGGGUUUAUAACUUGGAUAUAUAUUUAUAUCUUAGAGGUUUAUAUCUUAUAUAUCUUAUAUAUAUCUUAUAUCCAAUUUUUGAAGGGCAGUAUGAGAACAAUAGUUUGA